AGUGAUAGGUCAUGGCCUCGAGUGGCACCGGGGGAGGUUCAGCUUGGGCAUCAGGAAAAAAUUGUUCUUGCACCCGCACAGGCUGCCCAGGGAGUGGUGGGAUCAGCAUCCUGGAGGUGUUCCAGAACCACGGGCAUGUGGUGGUCUGGGGUUGGAUUUGAGGAUCUGAAAGGUAUUUUCCAACUGCCAUGGCCCUGUGAUUGUAUUCCUGUGUUUUCUUCUGGAAGGUUGGUACUUAGUCUGGAAACAAUUUUUGCUAGCUCCACACCCAGAUCCCUUUGGAAGCAAGCGAUAGAUUCUGAUUUCUUACAGUGAAGAUGGUCGCAGAGGAGAGCUAAGAAGGCAAAGUCCUUGAGCUGCUCUUGGCUCCAAAAGGGGGUCAAUAAUCAUCCACGUGUGCACAGCACUGCAGGAGGAGGCUGUGCAUUACUAAUUAUCUCUACCUCUUCUAAGCUGGAUAAAAGCUUUGCAGCCAGCGUUCUGAGUGGUGAUGGAAAUAGGAAUCUGCUGAUGCCUUUUGGGCUGGCUGAGGGAAAUCAGCACUGCUGCAGGAAAAAAAACAAACACGUUUCAAAUGCUGAUUGGAUUUCCUCACAGAAAUGACUAAAUCUCCUCAAUGGACAGGUAUUGACUUCUCUCUCUGGGUAUCAGAAAGUGCUGCUCCCAACCCUGCGAGCAGCAGCCAUGCUGGGAGCAGCCACCAGGAGCAGUGAUUGUUGGCUUCACCCUGGACAGAGAAAAAGGAGGGAUCGUAAAUCAUAGAAUGGCUUGGGUUGGAAGGGACCUCAAGGAUCAUGAAGCUCCAACCCCCCUGAUACAUGCAGGGCUGCCAACCUCCAUAUCUAACACUAGACCAGGCUGCCCUGGGUCCCAUCCAACCUGGCCUUGAACACCUCCAGGGAUGGAGCAUCCACAGCCUCUCUGGGCAGCUGCUCCAGCACCUCACCACUCUCAUAGUAUAUAAAAGAAGGAAGGAAGAUCCCAAAGCCACCAUGUUGGUAUCAACACAAAUGUGAUGGGAAAAAUCCUCUUUUAAAAUGUUCACCUGCUGUAAAAGAGCAUCCUUCAGUUUCACCAUCUGAGCGAGCUGUCUGCUGUCUCCUCGGACAUCCUCAGGCACAAGUUGUGCUGCUCCCAAAUAUCACUGUAAUGUAUUUGCUACCCAGACACACAAACGCCUCAUGGCAGAACUCAUUUCAUCUCAGUAGAGAAGAAGUGAUGUUCAGCAGUAUUCCCACUUGCUGUACCCACAUGGGACUUGCCAGGUGCUCAGGCCCAGGGCUGGGUUUGCUUCUUGAAACCCUUAGAAAAAAAAUAGUGCUGUCCAUUGCAGUAAAGUAAGAAGUUAAAAAAACAAAAAAACAAAACUUGGAAAACAUACAGAUGUUUUUUUCAUUUUCCUUUAACCUUGAGGGUUAAAAGGUAUAAUUGCCCUGAAAGAUGACUGUUACAAGACUUUAAUCUUUAAAACAACAUCAUCAGACAUCAAGUAGCUGCUACCAUUCCUGACUGAACACUUCAAGCUGGAUGGUCAGAUAGAGCUUGUUGAAGAGCAGGGAAAAAGCUUUCUGGUCUUGUGUGAAGCAGUCACUGCUUUUCAAUUUAUUAUUAUUUUUUUUUCUAUUUAAUGAAAUGUGACUUAGAGCUUCUUCAAAGCAUAUAAUGUUUAGAACAAAUCCUGGAGGUGGAGAUAGAGGGAAGAGCUGGCAGAGCAGGCUUUCAUUUACUGCAAUUUCUGUAACAAUUAUAAAGACAAGUCGUCUCGAAUACUUAAAGACAUCCCCAGAAACCUUUAAAUUUAGAUUCCAAAUGUAAGAAUCCGAGACAAAUGUCUUUGAAGUUAUUAAAUUAGCUGCUGCUGUAAUGUUACGUAUUGUCACGCCUUCGUCCAAUGACUCUCACUUUAAAGACUUUAUUGUGUUUUUAACCUGAGAUAAAUUUCCUGUUAUAAAAAUGAUGCCUAUAUCUGUUA